rnacentral:rRNA from 1 species
GAAUAGAUACCCCGGUAGUCCACGCCGUAAACGAUGAAUGCUAGGUGUUAGGGGUUUCGAUACCCUUGGUGCCGAAGUUAACACAUUAAGCAUUCCGCCUGGGGAGUACGGUCGCAAGACUGAAACUCAAAGGAAUUGACGGGGGACCCGCACAAGCAGUGGAGUAUGUGGUUUAAUUCGAAGCAACGCGAAGAACCUUACCAGGUCUUGACAUCCCUCUGACCGGUACAGAGAUGUACCUUUCCUUCGGGGACAGAGGAGACAGGUGGUGCAUGGUUGUCGUCAGCUCGUGUCGUGAGAUGUUGGGUUAAGUCCCGCAACGAGCGCAACCCUUGAUUUUAGUUGCCAGCACUUCGGGUGGGCACUCUAGAAUGACUGCCGGUGACAAACCGGAGGAAGGCGGGGGAUGGACGUCAAAUCAUCAUGCCCCUUAUGACCUGGGCUACACACGUACUACAAUGGCCAGUACAACGGGAAGCGAAGCCGCGAGGUGGAGCCAAUCCUAUCAAAGCUGGUCUCAGUUCGGAUUGCAGGCUGCAACUCG